UACGAAGGGUCCAAGCGUUAUCCGGAUUUAUUGGGUUUAAAGCGUGUGUAGGCGGACUUCUAAGUACCUUGUGAAAUCCCACGGCUCACCCGUGGAACUGCUUGGUAUACUGGUUGUCUUGAGCCUUCUAGGGGCGAGUGGAACAAAUGGUGGAGCGGUGAAAUGCGUAGAUAUCAUUUGGAACGCCAAUGGUGAAAACAACUCGCUGGGGAAGUGCUGACGCUGAGACACGAAAGCCAGGGGAGCGAACGGG
rnacentral:rRNA from 1 species